UCCUGUCCAGUGCGUGAUGUGGACUGUUUCUCGAGAAUAAUGCGGCCGAGGUGGGAAGACAACUGCCUAUAUCCAGUGCUUCCGUACCUCAGUCACUCGAAAGUUUUCAUGGCGCCUUGAUUGGUCACCCUGGCGAAGAGAUAAACUGUGAAUCUCCUCUAACACUUUUCACCAACCUCCUGCCAUUUCAUCGCUCUUCGGUCUAAAUAUUAUUUAUUGGAAAUACCAAACAUGGCGGCCGAGCGAACCAGUAAGCUCUGAGGCUGCCUAGUCUAUUUCAGACAACCGGUGUUUACAUCUACUCACAUGAAAUUGAGAGUAUCCCCCGUUGCCAGCGCCGAGUGACGUUGCACAAAACGGUUGGAGACCAAGGUCGCUGACGUCAGUUGCUCUUCUCACACCGCCUCUUGUUUUUAUCUGCACGAUCAAAAUGUCUUGAGGCAGCGUUUGUGAUGAUGUGUGGAGACUAUAAAAGCAAUUCAGAAAACUAUUUGCACCAAUAGGAAGCCGUGUGUGUGUGUGUGGUGACGCUCAGCAAUGUACCCAAACCCUCUGGAUCGAAGGCAUUCAACAGUACGUCAAGUGAUUGACAAAUUCUUGUACCCGGAUGCAAAUCGCAAGAACAACAGAAACAUCAAAGUCGGAAAUUCAUCUUCGUGUGGGGACAAGAAAGACGAUCACAGGAAAUUGACGUCAGGGUAGUGGAAACAGAAACGCUGUUUCUUGGUUAACCUCGAUUUAUAUUUGUUCGUGUAUUAUUUAUUGAUUAGAGAAGAAUUAUACUGCUUUAUAAAUCUGCUGUCGACUCGAAGAUACAAAGGAUGAAAGCCGUGAACAAUCUGCUAAUGGAUGUUUGUCGGCCGACAUCGUUCGGCAUCCUGGAACCGAAGUGACCAGAUACGAAGUUGAAGACCACUUGGUCUGUGGCAAUAUUAAUGUGUACUAGCCAAUGUGUGGAAUCUCUUUCUCAAACGUAUACGCAGUUAGUUAACAUUACUCACAUAAACCUCCCCACUGUGUUUUUGAGGACUGGUUAAUUAUGCUUUUAGCAUCGACUUUGGACAUUGGAAAAUUAGUUGUAAUAUUGAAAAGGCACGAAAAUAAAAAAAAAAUGUGUUUUUACCGGUAUAAAAAAGAAUUAUCUUCACCGAACCCUGAAGAUGGCUGGAAUAUUUGACUGUGAAUUGCAACGUUACCGGAUGACCCUACAUGAGCUUCGUCCAACACAAAAAUGUGUAUAGAUCUCAGAAAUGUAUUGUUUUAACUGAAAAUGGGAAGAAUUCAAGGAAAAUAUGAGACUAAAUAUAAUUGUGCAUACUCAGCUGACGGGGGCGGCACUUAUGUGUCAACGAUAACCUGGUUCUCUGUUUUAGGAUCUAAAUGUACACGCUUUAGGUAUCGUCAAAAAGUUACUGUUCAUGAAGGAAUUCACGUCCUUUGUUUCUAUUUGUAGCUUAACCCAGUAAUGGGUCAUUGCCGCCUCCUUUUCGGAGGUUUCUUAGUCUUUGAAGCGUGCAUUGAAGCGUAGUGAGUGAAUACACAAUUUCUACUCAAUCCUGAUUUGACUGCCAGAGCCAUCUAG